rnacentral:misc_RNA from 1 species
GGAAGUAAAAGUGUAACAAGGUUUCCGUAGGUGAACCUGCGGAAGGAUCAUUAUUGUAUAACCGAGGUGCGAGGGCUGUCGCUGACCCGAAAGGUCGUGCACGCCCGAGUGCCCUCACACACAUCCAUCUCACCCCUAUGUGCACCACCGCGUGGGUCCCCCCUUGGCUUGUUCGGAGGGGGGCUUACGUUUUCACACAAACUUUGUAUGCAGUGUAGAAUGUAUUUUUUGUUUUUGCGAUCACGCAAUCAAUACAACUUUCAACAACGGAUCUCUUGGCUCUC